UGUAGAGUGGUGUAAAUGAGCACAGGGGACUUUGGCUCUCCAAGAGUGAGUUUGUAGUCUUGCCUCUGCAU
rnacentral:tRNA from 1 species